CGCCGUCGUGAUGGCACAGGGGAGCAGGUGGAUGGUCCCACCGUGGUGCCCAGUGCCAUGGACAGGAGGGUGGUGGGACCCACUGUGGUGGCUUUCUAGUCCCUGUGACUGGAGGGAGCUGGAGUACGGGUCCCUCGGUGCUUGCUCCCUGGCGAGGAUGUGCCCGUGGUGCAGAAUUAAUCAGGUACAAGUUAGGAAAAGCUUCCAAAAUCUGAACAGAUGAAGAUCAAUUGAUAAGUCAACCCAGCGAUUCACCAUACUUUCAAGAAAAAGCCUUUAUGGAUUUGAUCGACACUUGGACAUAUAAAGGAUUCUUUUUCAAACUGCAGCUGAGGCAGCUUUCUGAUGACUUUCUCCAGGACAAAGGACCUGCAUGAAUGAAGUUUGUAAUAUAAACGAGAAUAUUUGACACAGAGAAUAUAGACCUGUCUGUAACUUGCUUUAUCCUAUAGCUGGAGUCUGAAUUCAGCUAUGGAUGUUAU